CUCUGUUGUGUAGAUGUUGUUCACUCUCCUGUUGUGUAGAUGUUGUUCACUCUCCUGUUGUGUAGAUGUUAUUCACUCUCCUGUUGUGUAGUUGUUCAACUCUCCUGUUGUGUAGAUGUUGUCCACUCUUCUGUUGUGUAGAUGUAUGUUACUCUUCUGUUGUGUAGAUGUUGUUCACUCUUCUGUUGUGUAGAUGUUGUUCACUCUCCUGUUGUGUAGAUGUUCACGGCAGGCUUCCUCCUUAUUUGGCUAUGUGAUUGUUAUUAAACCUGAUUGCGUCAUUAACUGCUGGAUGAUGAUCCGCUAAUGAUCUGCCGUCUCGUAUUUUAUUCCUCUUCAUCCCAUCUGAUCGGGAGCUGUAGCAGCAUUGCUCUUUCCGUUUUCUCUCGUCUUUUGCCUCAUCAUUUCCUCUAAUUGCAUCACUCUCUUCUUCCUGCAGACUCAAAAUGCUGUUAGCUCACCUCUCGCUCCCAUGCUGCUAUUUAUACACCACCGUCUCACUGUUAGCCAAGAGACCCGUGACCCAUACAUCCUCUCAUGUACACACCUUCUACACACCUUUAUACACAUUUACACACCUGCACACUUUACACACCGUCCACGCACCUUUACACACCGUCCACACACCGUCCACGCACCUUUACACACCAUCCACACACCUUUACACACCGUCCACACACCUU
ensembl:lncRNA